CCAGUUGACUGCCAUGCAGCAAAAUGACAUGUUCACAUCAUUACUGUUGCUUACUAUUAUAAAUAUAAUAUUUGUAUUAAUAGUAAUGAUGUGAACAUGUCAUCUUGCUGGGUUGCAGUCAACUGG